rnacentral:rRNA from 1 species
UACGUAGGCAGCGAGCGUUGUUCGGAGUUACUGGGCGUAAAGGGUGUGUAGGCGGUUGUUUAAGUUUGGUGUGAAAUCUCCCGGCUCAACUGGGAGGGUGCGCCGAAUACUGAAUGACUCGAGUGUGGGAGAGGUGAGUGGAAUUCCUGGUGUAGCGGUGAAAUGCGUAGAUAUCAGGAGGAACACCGGUGGCGAAGGCGGCAUUCUGGACCGACAUUGACGCUGAGGAGCGAAAGCCAGGGGAGCAAACGGG